rnacentral:rRNA from 1 species
AUGGCCAGAUUCUGGUGCUCGCUCCUGCUCCUGUGGCUCUGCUAUCUUGUCCUCUCUCCGGUGGACUCGUCGCCGGUUGCCAUCACGCACCUGCCCGGCUUCGACGGGCCACUCCCAUUCUCCCUCGAAACCGGGUAUGUGGAGGUGGACGAAAGCAAUGGUGCGCACCUUUUCUACUACUUCGUCGAGUCGGAGAAGGACCCCAAGGGAGACCCGCUGCUGCUGUGGAUGCAGGGUGGACCCGGCUGCUCCAGCCUCUCUGGCAUUCUCUACGAGAUGGGGCCCUUCCGGUUUGACAUCCAAGGGUACAGACGUGGACGCCCUACUUUGCUGUACCGACCGGAGACAUGGACCAAGGUCAGCAAUAUAAUCUUUAUUGAUAGUCCUAUUGGGUCUGGGUUCUCGUACGCCACAACUGAAGAAGGGUUCAAAUCUAGUGAUACCAAGGCAGUUAAAAUGCAAGUCGUCUUCCUCAAAAAGUGGUUGCAUGAGCACCCCCAGUUCCUCUCAAAUCCACUUUAUGUUGGUGGUGAAUCAUAUAUUGUUAUGAUCAUACCCAGUCUUGCCCUAGAAAUCCACUUAUCAAGUAAGACUCUUUAUACUUAUCUAUACAUGAUGAACCACUGCUAUGAGAGUGGUUUUUUACACCCACCCUCGGUGCACCCACGCUACACCCACACAAAAGAACAUAGCAAAACAUUUUGA